UCAUAGCCCUGAUAGGAACGGUUACCCCGCAGCAUGCAAUGGAGCUUAACAGGCCUUGAACGCCGGGCUGGCACCGGUGCGAGGAGUAUGAGUGGAUAGCAGGAAACAGC
rnacentral:misc_RNA from 1 species